UACGGGGGGGGCAAGCGUUGUUCGGAAUUACUGGGCGUAAAGGGCUCGUAGGCGGCCAACUAAGUCGGACGUGAAAUCCCUCGGCUUAACCGGGGAACUGCGUCCGAUACUGGAUGGCUGGAGGUUGGGAGAGGGAUGCGGAAUUCCAGGUGUAGCGGUGAAAUGCGUAGAUAUCUGGAGGAACACCGGUGGCGAAGGCGGCAUCCUGGACCAAUUCUGACGCUGAGGAGCGAAAGCCAGGGGAGCAAACGGG
rnacentral:rRNA from 1 species